CGAACGCUGGCGGCGUGCUUAACACAUGCAAGUCGAACGGGUCUGCCCUGUUUUUUGCGGGGUGGGUCAGUGGCGAACGGGUGAGUAACACGUGAGUAACCUGCCCCUCACUUCUGGAUAACCGCUUGAAAGGGUGGCUAAUACGGGGUGUUCUGGCUGUGCCGCAUGGUGUGGCUGGGAAAGAUUCACUUUUGUGGUGUUUUGGUGGGGGAUGGGCUCGCGGCCUAUCAGCUUGUUGGUGGGGUGAUGGCCUGCCAAGGCUUUGACGGGUAGCCGGCCGGAGAGGGGGGGCGCUCACACUGGGACUGAGAUACGGCCCAGACUCCUGCGGGAGGCAGCAGUGGGGGGUAUUGCACAGUGGGCGGAAGCCUGAUGCAGCGACGUCGCGUGAGGGAUGGAGGCCUUCGGGUUGUGAACCUCUUUCGCCGGUGAAGAAGGUCCUGCUCUUUGUGGUGGGGUGGACGGUAGCCGGGUUAUGAAGCGCCGGCUAACUACG
rnacentral:rRNA from 1 species